rnacentral:tRNA from 1 species
UAGUCCAUAGUUUAAAAAGAACUUUUUAUUUACACUAAAAAAGUCUAUAUUAGUAGUGGUCUGU